AUUGAACGCUGGCGGCAUGCCUAACACAUGCAAGUCGAACGGCAGCACGGCAGUAGCAAUACUGUGGGUGGCGAGUGGCGGACGGGUGAGGAAUACGUCGGAAUCUGCCCAGUCGUGGGGGAUAACUAGCCGAAAGGUUAGCUAAUACCGCAUACGACCGAGAGGUGAAAGCGGGGGACCGCAAGGCCUCGCGCGAUUGGAUGAGCCGACGUCGGAUUAGCUAGUUGGUGGGGUAAAGGGCCCACCAAGGCGACGAUCCGUAGCUGGUCUGAGAGGAUGAUCAGCCACACUGGAACUGAGACACGGUCCAGACUCCUACGGGAGGCAGCAGUGGGGAAUAUUGGACAAUGGGCGGCAAGCCUGAUCCAGCAAUAGCCGCGUGUGUG
rnacentral:rRNA from 1 species